AAUGUGCAAAGUAAAAUCCUGGGUUAUAGAUCAAAAGAAACCUGUUCGCUUCUAUCAUGAUUGGAAUGACAAAGAGAUUGAAGUGUUGAAUAAACACUUAUUUUUGACUUCAAAACCAAUGGUCUACUUGGUUAAUCUUUCUGAAAAAGACUACAUUAGAAAGAAAAACAAAUGGUUGAUAAAAAUUAAAGAGUGGGUGGACAAGUAUGACCCAGGUGCUUUGGUCAUUCCUUUUAGUGGGGCCUUGGAACUCAAGUUGCAAGAAUUGAGUGCUGAGGAGAGACAGAAGUAUCUGGAAGCGAACAUGACACAAAGUGCUUUGCCAAAGAUCAUUAAGGCUGGGUUUGCAGCACUCCAACUAGAAUACUUUUUCACUGCAGGCCCAGAUGAAGUGCGUGCAUGGACCAUCAGGGUAAGAUUCAUACUUAUUCAUCAGCUAUAUCCAGUUCCACACUAUUGAAUUCAGAUUGAUAUCACUGACUUUGAAGUUUGUCAUGGUGGCGGUUAGCUAGUCAUUACAGAUGAGGUUUUUGUCCAGGAUAACUUUAAUUAUUUGUGAGCUGCUGAACAGUGAAAGUGGAGCGGCAUUGAUUGAGGCAGGUAACAAUUGAUUCUGCCUAUUACAUAGUCUGAAUUUCUUCAUCCUGUAGAAUCUG
rnacentral:sRNA from 1 species